AGAGUUUGAUCCUGGCUCAGAACGAACGCUGGCGGCGUGCUUAACACAUGCAAGUCGAACGCGAACGAGUUCUUCGGAACUUUAGUAGAGUGGCGCACGGGUGAGUAACGCGUAAGUAAUCUACCCUGAUAUCUGGGAUAACAAUUCGAAAGGAUUGCUAAUACCGGAUACGUUGAUUUAUCAAGAAAGAUGGCCUCUUCAUGAAAGCUAUUGUAUCAGGAGGAGCUUGCGUACCAUUAGCUAGUUGGUGGGGUAAUGGCCUACCAAGGCGACGAUGGUUAGCGAGUCUGAGAGGAUGAUCCGCCACACUGGAACUGAAACACGGACCAGACUCCUACGGGAGGCAGCAGUGAGGAAUAUUGCGCAAUGGGGGAAACCCUGACGCAGCGACGCCGCGUGGAUGAUGAAGGCCUUCGGGUCGUAAAAUCCUGUCAGGUGGGAAGAAAUGGUUCAUGGUUAAUACCCGUGUUCCUUGACGGUACCAUCAAAGAAGCACCGCUAACU
rnacentral:rRNA from 1 species